UAUAAGACUGGGAUAACUUCGGGAAACCGGGGCUAAUGCCGGAUAACAUUUAGAACCGCAUGGUUCUAAAGUGAAAGAUGGUUUUGCUAUCACUUAUAGAUGGACCCGCGCCGUAUUAGCUAGUUGGUAAGGUAAUGGCUUACCAAGGCAACGAUACGUAGCCGACCUGAGAGGGUGAUCGGCCACACUGGAACUGAGACACGGUCCAGACUCCUACGGGAGGCAGCAGUAGGGAAUCUUCCGCAAUGGGCGAAAGCCUGACGGAGCAACGCCGCGUGAGUGAUGAAGGGUUUCGGCUCGUAAAACUCUGUUAUUAGGGAAGAACAAACGUGUAAGUAACUGUGCACGUCUUGACGGUACCUAAUCAGAAAGCCACGGCUAACUACGUGCCAGCAGCCGCGGUAAUACGUAGGUGGCAAGCGUUAUCCGGAAUUAUUGGGCGUAAAGCGCGCGUAGGCGGUUUCUUAAGUCUGAUGUGAAAGCCCACGGCUCAACCGUGGAGGGUCAUUGGAAACUGGGAGACUUGAGUGCAGAAGAGGAAAGUGGAAUUCCAUGUGUAGCGGUGAAAUGCGCAGAGAUAUGGAGGAACACCAGUGGCGAAGGCGACUUUCUGGUCUGUAACUGACGCUGAUGUGCGAAAGCGUGGGGAUCAAACAGGAUUAGAUACCCUGGUAGUCCACGCCGUAAACGAUGAGUGCUAAGUGUUAGGGGGUUUCCGCCCCUUAGUGCUGCAGCUAACGCAUUAAGCACUCCGCCUGGGGAGUACGACCGCAAGGUUGAAACUCAAAG
rnacentral:rRNA from 1 species